AGUGAACGCUGGCGGUAGGCCUAACACAUGCAAGUCGAACGGCAGCACAGUAAGAGCUUGCUCUUACGGGUGGCGAGUGGCGGACGGGUGAGGAAUACAUCGGAAUCUACUUUUUCGUGGGGGAUAACGUAGGGAAACUUACGCUAAUACCGCAUACGACCUACGGGUGAAAGCAGGGGAUCUUCGUACCUUGCGCGAUUGAAUGAGCCGAUGUCGGAUUAGCUAGUUGGCGGGGUAAAGGCCCACCAAGGCGACGAUCCGUAGCUGGUCUGAGAGGAUGAUCAGCAACACUGGAACUGAGACACGGUCCAGACUCCUACGGGAGGCAGCAGUGGGGAAUAUUGGACAAUGGGCGCAAGCCUGAUCCAGACAUACCGCGUGGGUGAAGAAGGCCUUCGGGUUGUAAAGCCCUUUUGUUGGGAAAGAAAAGCAGCAGGUUAAUACCCCGCUGUUCUGACGGUACCCAAAGAAUAAGCACCGGCUAACUUCGUG
rnacentral:rRNA from 1 species